AAAUAUGCUCUGUCUCCGCAUCCUCACCUACUUUUCCUUUACAGCAGAGACUUCUUUGACCAUGUUAUAUAUAUCUUGUCCAUGUAUAUCCUGGUUUUGGUGUAUGGCUCUUUGAACGCUUCCAUACCAUGAUGCUAUUUUGGUUCAGUUAUCUGAAUCAGACAAAACAAGUUCCUGUUACUGGGCUUCCUGCAGUCUUGGCAAGACAAAUGAUAUUGAGGAACCAAGCCAAUCCACCCAUGACCUCCCCUAGAGGCUGUUUCCAAACUGCCACUGCUGCUGCUUGUAAAGCAAGUCAUGGGAUCUGUCAGAGAGCAAGCCAAGGAACUGAGGCUGAAAGCCAGAUUCAGACGCUGGAGGCAUUCCAGAUUUUGCUAUCUCUGUCAGAUGUUUACUGAUAAUUUUCCAUGUGUGGAUAUAAGGCUGCAAAAAGAAUUUCUGCCGCAGCAAAGAUAGCCAAGUAUGAUGUUUUGGAAUAUCAACUGUGUUAGAUGCCUUUCAAAUCCUAUGUUCUUAUGAAGUGCUCUCAUACCAAACUGAAGCAGAGGGACAAGGUAGAAGCUGCACUGCUGAGUAUUUCUCUGCACAGACUGAGAUACUUGUAACUCAGCAACGCAGACAUGACUAAAUUGCCUGUUUAUGCUGUGGCACCUUCUAAGUCCUGUGGAACAGAUUCAAGCCUGUUUAUGCCUAACUUCUGUUCUGUAAGAAUCACAGAUAGAAAGGAUAAAACAAAGUCUUAAUGGUUUUGUGACAUUGCCCAUUCCAAAGCUUCCUUUUCCCCAUUUGCAUGAAUAUCUCAAUGUGGGCAACAGAGAAAAGGGGUCAGUACUCAAUACAGUAUAAGCCUUUCACGUUUCAGACAUUUUAAAGUAUAUGAGGCAUUACAGAUGAUUUUAAGAACUAUGCUUUUCUUCUGCCUGAUUUCAGAAAAAACAGCACAAAACGUGCUAAAACGCAUUAAGCAGUAACAUCAGAGGGUGGCCCGGCAGACCACAUGCAGCUUUUAAUUAGACCCAUGCAACUGUGUUUAAAAGCUGGUUGGCUUAAGCAGAGUUAAAUGAGAACAGAGUUUGACCUUCUGUCUGUAGAGUGCUAAAUGCUGUAGCACUCAAGACAAUGUAAUACAAGACACAUUGCUAACCUUCCCAUCCUGUAUACUCCGUUGUGGCUGUUGCCAACUGGAUCAAAUGAACAUUUGGAAAGGUGUGUUAAGUAGUAGCCAGAUCCCAUUCUCUCUUAAUUAUGUGGCUUUCACCAGUAUGCAGUACUAAAUCAUCCUUGCCCAGGGGUAGUAUAAUUACUGCUGAAUAGCCUAAUGCUGAAUAACUUAAUAUACUGGAGGCAAUAAUUAUUCCCAGAAUGUGUCUGUUCCACUUUGCAUAUUUACUUGUGUUCUUCAGAAAAAUUAUCCUGCAACAUAAAUACUCUUUAGGGCAAUACUGGUCUUUGCCUUGAAUAUAUUGGUCACAAGCUCAGCCCUUUGAGAGUAAGCUAAAAGACUUCCUUAGAAGAAUAAAAUGGCAAUGGAAUAAGUAUCUUCA
rnacentral:lncRNA from 1 species